rnacentral:rRNA from 1 species
GACGAACGCUGGCGGCGUGCCUAAUACAUGCAAGUAGAACGCUGAAGGAGGAGCUUGCUUCUCUGGAUGAGUUGCGAACGGGUGAGUAACGCGUAGGUAACCUGCCUGGUAGCGGGGGAUAACUAUUGGAAACGAUAGCUAAUACCGCAUAAUAGUAGAUGUUGCAUGACAUUUGCUUAAAAGGUGCAAUUGCAUCACUACCAGAUGGACCUGCGUUGUAUUAGCUAGUUGGUGAGGUAACGGCUCACCAAGGCGACGAUACAUAGCCGACCUGAGAGGGUGAUCGGCCACACUGGGGCUGAGACACGGCCCAGACUCCUACGGGAGGCAGCAGUAGGGAAUCCUCGGCAAUGGACGGAAGUCUGACCGAGCAACGCCGCGUGAGUGAAGAAGGUUUUCGGAUCGUAAAGCUCUGUUGUAAGAGAAGAACGAGUGUGAGAGUGGAAAGUUCACACUGUGACGGUAUCUUACCAGAAAGGGACGGCUAACUACGUG